rnacentral:rRNA from 1 species
AGCGAACGCUGGCGGCAGGCUUAACACAUGCAAGUCGAGCGGGCAUAGCAAUAUGUCAGCGGCAGACGGGUGAGUAACGCGUGGGAACGUACCUUUUGGUUCGGAACAACUGAGGGAAACUUCAGCUAAUACCGGAUAAGCCCUUACGGGGAAAGAUUUAUCGCCGAAAGAUCGGCCCGCGUCUGAUUAGCUAGUUGGUGAGGUAAUGGCUCACCAAGGCGACGAUCAGUAGCUGGUCUGAGAGGAUGAUCAGCCACAUUGGGACUGAGACGCGGCCCAAACUCCUACGGGAGGCAGCAGUGGGGAAUAUUGGACAAUGGGCGCAAGCCUGAUCCAGCCAUGCCGCGUGAGUGAUGAAGGCCCUAGGGUUGUAAAGCUCUUUUGUGCGGGAAGAUAAUGACGGUACCGCAAGAAUAAGCCCCGGCUAACUUCGUG